UGGGGGAUAUUGCACAAUGGGCGAAAGCCUGAUGCAGCGACGCCGCGUGGGGGAUGAAGGCCUUCGGGUUGUAAACUUCUUUUGCUCUGAACAAGGCGCACCAUGGGGUGUGUUGAGUGUAGGGGUUGAUUAGCGCCGGCUAACUACGUGCCAGCAGCCGCGGUCAUACGUAGGGCGCGAGCGUUGUCCGGAAUUAUUGGGCGUAAAGGGCUUGUAGGUGGCUGGUUGCGUCUGUCGUGAAAGCUCAUGGCUUAACUGUGGGUUUGCGGUGGGUACGGGCUGGCUUGAGUGCAGUAGGGGAGGCUGGAAUUCCUGGUGUAGCGGUGGAAUGCGCAGAUAUCAGGAAGAAUACCGGUGGCGAAGGCGGGUCUCUGGGCUGUUACUGACACUGAGGAGCGAAAGCAUGGGGAGCGAACAGG
rnacentral:rRNA from 1 species